AGUCCCCUUGCCCCCUGGUGAUGAACAUAUAACGGGUGUUCCAACAUCAAGAAGGGUGAAAGUGCAGAGAUCCAACAUGGAGAGGUGAGGCAGGGAAGAAACAACUAAAGUGAAGGGUGGCUGGAACCCCUCCCGCAACAAUGCAUUGACCACAUCCUGAAUCCACUUGGUCAAACCCCCUCAGCAAGCUUUAAUAAGCCAAGAAGGGCAAGGGUUGAGAGGACACAUUGCUGGCCACAUCGUCACAAGCACCUUGUCUACAUCAUCAGGCGGCAUCAACUGAAGCCGUUCCCAAGAAGUUGCAGCAGACAUUGCACUGGACACCUCACUGGGGACUACAGUAGAUGUGGCAUCAAGGCUGCUGCGGAGGCAAGCAACUUUACCCUCAAAGUGCCUAGCAAACAAUUCACAGUGGGCCUCCUGGAGUUGAUGUCAACAGACCCCUGAUAUGGAAAAGCUUCACUGGACAGCUACUUGAGGAUGCGAUGGUGGCAAAGAAGUGGGCCUUCUCCGCUGCCCUCACCCCCAUACAAAUCUUUACAUCCCACUUUAUAAACCUGAGAGAUUCUCCAAUUGACUCACAAAAAUUUUUCACAAUGAUA